rnacentral:tRNA from 1 species
GGAAUCCUCAAAAGGGAAUC